AUUUAAAUAGUUUAAUUAAAAUAUUGAUUUGUGGUGUCAAAGAUAUACAUUGUAUUUUAAAUA
rnacentral:tRNA from 1 species